rnacentral:rRNA from 1 species
UGGGGAAUAUUGCACAAUGGGCGAAAGCCUGAUGCAGCGACGCCGCAUGAGGGAUGACGGCCUUCGGGUUGUAAACCUCUUUCAGCAGGGACGAAGCGCAAGUGACGGUACCUGCAGAAGAAGCACCGGCUAACUACGUGCCAGCAGCCGCGGUAAUACGUAGGGUGCAAGCGUUGUCCGGAAUUACUGGGCGUAAAGAGUUCGUAGGCGGUUUGUCGCGUCGUUUGUGAAAACCAGCAGCUCAACUGCUGGCUUGCAGGCGAUACGGGCAGACUUGAGUACUGCAGGGGAGACUUGAAUUCCUGGUGUAGCGGUGAACUGCGCAGAUAUCAGGAGGAACACCGGUGGCGAAGGCGGGUCUCUGGGCAGUAACUGACGCUGAGGAACGAAAGCGUGGGUAGCGAACAGG